GAUGAAGAACGCAGUGAAAUGCGAUAAGUAAUGUGAAUUGCAGAAUUCAGUGAAUCAUCGAAUCUUUGAACGCACAUUGCGCCCCCUGGUAUUCCGGGGGGCAUGCCUGUUCGAGCGUCAUUUCACCACUCAAGCCUCGCUUGGUAUUGGGCAACGCGGUCCGCCGCGUGCCUCAAAUCGACCGGCUGGGUCUUCUGUCCCCUAAGCGUUGUGGAAACUAUUCGCUAAAGGGUGUUCGGAAGGCUACGCCGUAAAACAACCCCAUUUCUAAGGUUGACCUCGGAUCAGGUAGGGAUACCCGCUGAACUUAAGCAUAUCAAUAAGAGGAGGA
rnacentral:misc_RNA from 1 species